GCCACACCGGUUCCGGGAGCAGUCGCUUCACGGCGGUCGAGUUUUCUUAGGACUCCCAUUCUUGAGGAGCUGGUUUUAGAGGAAUUUGAGGCUCCUGUGAGUCACUCUGAGUUUGGAUGUGGUAAGGAUCAGAGCCAAACUAGGACCUGCAUUUAUGAUCUCGAGGCUGAGGUGCCAUAGGUCAUAAAGGUGGACUGUCUUUCCCAGCAGGAAGAUCACAGAAACCUGACCUGACUCGACUGCCGCCUUCAGUCAGCACGAAGAACUACACACAGAGAAAAUGCCUCAAUAUUAGUUACCAUGGUGAUGCUAGUUCAACCACAUUUCAUCUGUGUAAAAAUUUCAGGCAGAACAGUAUACAGAAGUACUGGCUAAAGGACCUAACGCUUUACUUUUUGUUGUUGUUGCUGUUGCUGUUGCAAAGUUAACGUUAGCUUUGGUAAAGGAUGAUAAUUUGAAGUGAAAUCCUUUGAAAAAUUGAAAACAAGCAAGGAUGAAAUGUCAAACUUAUCCAUUGGAGAAAUCUCCUAAUAGCCACUUUUGCACCAUACCAAAUUACUUUCCCCUCAGCUAACAUGGGGCAUUUGGGGCUUCCUGAUUCUAUUUACUAGUAAGAGGAAAGUGGUUUAAUGAGAUCGCAGAAGAUCCAAAGCCAGGAAAUGUUGACAUAUCAGCUUGGAGGGAAAAUUGAUAUAUAGGACCCUAAGGAAGUUAGGGGCUUGGACAAAAGUAACAAGACGAGAUUCAACCAAGAAACAAAACUAACCCAUGUUACUAAUCUGCUCUGGGGAGAGGAUAGAGCCUGAAGCUAAGACAAGAGAAUUUAUAACUUUCUAUAAUCACCCAAAAGUUAAAUACAGCUGGAAAGCCCUACAGACAGAAGCCUGGAGGAGGCUGAGGUCUUUGUGAAAGUGCAACUACAAGUAAAGACUUCCUUACCCCCUUCCUUCCUUGCCAGGAUCAGAAAGUCAAAGAAGGUGAAGAGGCUAACACCGCUGAUUUACAAAGACAGCGAGGAGGAACUAUGUCUAGGCCAAUUCUGGACGUCUGAGCUGGGGCGACAGGACCCAGACAACCACCUCAGGAAAUGAGUAAAUGAAAAGGGGGAGUCGUGGAAUUAUUUAGCCCUAGCACAACGCUGCCUAGACCGGGGUGGGGGUGGAGCAAGAAGAAAAUUUCAGAAAAGGAAUUUUGACAGUGAGAAUGCUAGUUAAGAUACAGCACUCCAGGCCCCCUGAUGUCCCUUGUUUGAUGUUAAUAAAGACCUAGAGGAUUAUGCA